rnacentral:lncRNA from 1 species
CCUUGAAUGAAGUAUAAAAUCUCUGCGCGCGGAUAAGAGGUGAUUGCAGGGCUAAAGGGCAUUCCAAGAAAACCUCGUGGUUUAUUCUGGUGCUUGAUCUCCAGUUUAGAGGAUUUCCAAAAAGCACAGGUGGCCUGAGGGUCAGCUUACAAGUUGGAAUAUGACACACGGGGUUUGAGUUUCCUUGACGUUUGAGUGUGUCAAGGCCAGCUUAGGUGUACCUCAGACUGAGCCAGAACUCCAGAUUAGUUUCAGAGCUCUCCUGAUCUCCUGGAAGUGCUUAUGACCACAAGACGAGUCUCUGGGUCAGGACAGAUGAGGAGGUCAGGAAGCCCUCCCCAGCAGACCUCCCACCCGCUCCAGAUGGAGUUAAUAAUUGCCCCCGCCCAGCAACCUUUGCUGCUCUCACUUGCUCCUCUUGCUGCAGUCAUUACACAGCUCACUUUGUUUACAGGAUCAUCUUUCCUCCAUGCUCUGGGCUCCUUGAGAGCAGGGCUCUGUUUUAUUCUCAGUGUCCCUGGGCGUCUUUAGCAUCUAGUACUUUCCUAGCACCUAGCUGAGGAGGGACUCAAUUGAGUGGGAGAGAAGAGACGCCACAGCCAACCCCAGAUCCCUGCUGGUCUUCACAGAGGCAGCGUAUUUUCCCGUGGGUUGUCGAGACUCUCCUCCAGCUCUAUGAGCUGUGAACGGCUAAGAGAGCAGGAAACAUGUCCUAUUCACAUCAUCAGGCAAAAUGCCUGCCCCUACCCGAGGCCUCAAAAUUCAUGAAGAAGAUGACUUGGACCCAAAAAAUUGCUCCUCCAUUUACCUUCAGUUUCCAACCCUGUUACCACUCACUGGAAGAUGGUGGGAGAUCUAUGAUGGUUUUCCCAUUUGCCCGGGGUCCACCAUGUUUGACUGAGUUGAUCGGAGACGUAGAGAAUAUUUACCAUAUUCUGGGAGCCACGCAAGGUAUUGCAAGCCAAGGAUGAGCCCUGGUCUGAUGGAAUUUACAGUCAAGUGGAGAAGACAAACCAUUAGCUAUUAUGGAGACCUGUUGUGCUUUAGGCAUCACUGGGGCUCAGAAUGUGAUGGAACACUUAAAAUAAUGUUAAUAUGUUUUAAAUCAAUGAUUUUGUUCAUUUGUUUACUCUUGAAUGAGGAUGUGAUGAUAUCGCAGGACCCUAGGACAUCACUGGACCAAUCUUCAUUGACAGCCUAUCAUGUACAAAUAUCACACUGGAAAGUAGAAUAUAAUGCUGAUGAUACUGAACUUGAUUUCUGCUCUCACGUGGAUUACGUUCUUGCAGAAAG